rnacentral:rRNA from 1 species
CGACAAGCAAAAGAAGGGCGUAUGGGGGAUGCCUAGGCUCUCAGAGGCGACGAAGGACGUGAUAAGCUGCGAAAAACCGCGGGGAGCUGCACAUGAGCAUUGAUCCGCGGGUAUCCGAAUGGGGCAACCCGGCUGGUUGAAGGCCAGUCAUGCCGUAAGGCAGGCGAACCCGCCGAACUGAAACAUCUAAGUAGGCGGAGGAAGAGAAAACAAGAGUGAUUCCGAGAGUAGUGGCGAGCGAAAUCGGAUCGGCCCAAACCGUUGUUGUUUCGGCAAUGACGGGGUUGUAGGACCACAAUGUUCUUUGCGCGACGAACCGGAAGCAGUUGGAAAGCUGCACGAUAUGGGUGACAGUCCCGUACGGGCAAGGAGCGUUAAAGAUAGUGGUAUCCUGAGUAGCGCGGGGCACGUGAAACCCUGUGUGAAUCCGGCGGGACCAUCCGCCAAGGCUAAAUACUCCUGGGAGACCGAUAGUGAACCAGUACCGUGAGGGAAAGGUGAAAAGAACCGUGAACAACGGAGUGAAACAGACCCUGAAACCAUACGCCUACAAGCGGUCGGAGUCCCGAUUUAUCGGGAUGACGGCGUGCCUUUUGCAUAAUGAGCCUACGAGUUACUUUUACCGGCAAGGUUAAGCACUUAUGGUGCGCAGCCGUAGCGAAAGCGAGUCUGAACAGGGCGCUUUAGUCGGUAGUAGUAGACGCGAAACCGUGCGAUCUACCCAUGGGCAGGUUGAAGCUGUGGUAACACAUAGUGGAGGACCGAACCCGUUGACGUUGAAAAGUCUUGGGAUGACCUGUGGGUAGGGGUGAAAGGCCAAUCAAGCUCGGAAAUAGCUCGUACUCCCCGAAAUGCAUUUAGGUGCAGCGUUGAUAUAGUUACAUAGAGGUAGAGCUACUGAUUGGAUGCGGGGGCUUCACCGCCUACCAAUUCCUGACAAACUCCGAAUGCUAUGUAAUGAUUAUCAGCAGUGAGGGCAUGGGUGCUAAGGUCCAUGUCCGAGAGGGAAAGAACCCGGACCAUCAGCUAAGGUCCCCAAAUAUGUGCUAAGUUGACAAAACGCGGUGGGACUGCUUAGACAGCCAGGAUGUUGGCUUGGAAGCAGCCAUUCAUUUAAAGAGUGCGUAACAGCUCACUGGUCGAGCGGUCCCGCAUGGAUAAUGAUCGGGCAUAAGCACAUUACCGAAGCUAUGGCAUCGAAAGAUGGGUAGGGGAGCAUUCUGUUCGGCGCCGAAGGUGCACUGUGAGGUGUGCUGGAGCGUACAGAAACGAAAAUGUAGGCAUAAGUAACGAUAAUGCGGGCGAGAAACCCGCACGCCGAAAGACCAAGGUUUCCCCGGCCAUGCUAAUCAGCCGGGGGUCAGUCGGGACCUAACACGAACCCGGAAGGGGCAGUGGAUGGACAAGCGGUUAAUAUUCCGCUACCCGCAUAUCACCAAAAGUGACGGGGCAGUUUAGUUGGUGCGUGCUGACGGAAUAGCACGUUGAAGCGCAAGCGAUAGUACGACAAGGCCACGGCCGCGUCGAUAAUCCAGCGGCACUGCCUCCAAGAAAAGCGAGAUAUGCGGCCCGUACCGUAAACCGACACAGGUGGUCGGGAUGAGAAUUCUAAGGCGCUCGAGAGAUUCAUGGUUAAGGAACUAGGCAAAAUGGACGCGUAACUUCGGGAGAAGCGUCGCUCCCCUCCGGGGGAGCCGCAGUGAAUAGGCCCAGGCGACUGUUUAUCAAAAACACAGGGCUCUGCCAAAUCGAAAGAUGACGUAUAGGGCCUGACACCUGCCCGGUGCCGGAAGGUUAAAGGGAGAUGUCAGCCGCAAGGUGAAGCAUUGAACUGAAGCCCCGGUAAACGGCGGCCGUAACUAUAACGGUCCUAAGGUAGCGAAAUUCCUUGUCGGGUAAGUUCCGACCUGCACGAAUGG